AUGAGGUCCAGCACAUGGCUGCUCCCCCUGCUCCUUCUCAGCUCUUCCACCAGCGGUGCGAGCGGGCAGUGUGCGGAGGAGAUUAAGGUGCGCCGCAACCAGGUGCUCGUGGCUCAGGAGGGCGUGCAGCUGGAGGUCGAGUGUCCCGUCAGCUUCUGUUCAGACCCACCGCCCCGUGUCUCAUGGGUGAAAUAUACAAACGGGUCGGACAAAGACAAGCCCGGGUCCGUGUUGGAGAGCAGGUGGGAGGGCCUGUCGAAUAGCUCCGGUGUCUCCUACCUCACCUUCACUCACCUGAUCCUCAACCACUCUGGGGAAUACAGAUGUGAAACCAACUUCACUAAAGGCCAUAUCAUCAACAUCACUGUCACAGGAAGUGCAGAGGUUUCUGUUGAAGAAAAGGACGACCGGCGUGCAGAUCGCGGGGGUCCGGCCCAGCUCCAGCCCUACCUGUGGGCCUCAGCGGGGGUCCUCCUGUGUGUGGUGGUGGUGGUCACUCUGUCACUUGUGUCCCUGCAGCGCUGCCCAGGAGACCCCAGGAGGACGGCGGAGUAUCAGAACACAGUGCUGCCGAUGACUCAGUAUCCAUCAGCGCACUCUAACCCUGGACAAGCCCCUCCCAGUGACACGCCCCUCUCCCUUGCACGCCCCCACCGCCCCGCCCCGAGCCCCCCCACGCCCCACCGGACGUCUCAGCAUGGCCGUCUCUAUGGCAACCGAGGGGAGGAGGAGGAGGAGGAGGAGGAAGAGGAGGAUCAGUCCAUUUGGUACGCGGCCCUGAAUCACGAUGUGAUGCCAGUGGCUCCCAGAGUGCGCCGUAGAGAUAGCUUGCAGGACGUGGAGUACGCAGCCAUCCACGUAGCAUAG
rnacentral:lncRNA from 1 species